rnacentral:tRNA from 1 species
AGCCUCGUAGCUCAGUUGGCUAGAGCGUUUGCUUUACUGAAGCCUUUCCCUUGCUUGCGUGGGUUUGAAUCCCACCAAGGCCG